rnacentral:misc_RNA from 1 species
UUAUUUCCGAACACAACCCGAUGGGUACCGACGGCUUCGAGUUCGUCGAAUACGCCCAUCCCGAGCCGGAAAAGCUGCACGCGCUGUUCCGCCUGAUGGGGUUCACGGCGGGCCCCCGCCAGGCGAUCACGGUCUAUCGCCAGGGCGACGUGAACUAUCUCGUUAACGAGCAGCCCGGCACCCAUGGCUACGAUUUUGUCGCCGCGCAUGGUCCGUGCGCGCCGUCGAUGGCGUUCCGCGUGGUCGAUGCCAAGCGCGCCUAUGAGCGCGCGCUCUCGCUCGGCGCGGAGUCGGCGGAUGAGACGACCGCGCGCAAGACGCUGGACGUUCCGGCGAUCAAGGGCA